UCACACAGUUUUUUGAAGUUUAGUUUUAUUAUUGUUGUUGAGUUUGCGCGUCAUACAAGAAGAAAAAAACAAGUGCAAUAAAUUACAGAACUAUGUGAAAAAUUGAAGAAAAAUAAUAAAUAAUAUAUUUAUUAAUAAAAGAAUGAAAUAAAUAAAGUAAAUAUUUAUUAAGUAAAGUGGUAAAGUGUGAAAGCUUUAAGAAAUUUGUGAAUUAAAUUUUAUAAUAAAAAAACAUUUGUUUAAGAGGAAUUUGUUAUUAAAAAUUAAAAGAGUGUUUUUGUAAAAAAGAGUGUGAAGAAAAACAAGAGAACAAAAUCAACUUGUUUAGUGAAGUGCGAAAUGAAAAAUCCUUUAGUAAUUUUUGGUUAUUCGGAGCAGACGGUUGCUUAAAACGCUUGACGGUUUAGUGAAAGUCAUUAAGAAAAGAAAAAAAUUUAAGGGGUGGUUUGUGUGAGGCUUUUAGACAGUGAAAAAAUGUGUCUCGUCCUGUACGUCCUCUGAUGCGAACGACUGACUGUUUAUCCAACUAGAAACAAAUACAACAAAAGAGGACAAUAAAAAAAGCAAAAAAAAAACGGAAACUAAUAAGAACAGUAAAACAAAGAUACCUCCCCCCGCUCAUUAUAUGUAUAUCCCCCCUCUUGUUAGAAAAAUAACAGCAGAAACUGUUAUAGGAAAAAAAUAGAAAAAUCAAUAAAUUUACAUUAGAAAUCUAAGAAAAUAAAAAAUUAAAAAAAUUAAAUAAAAUUUUUUUUUUUUUUUUUAAAUCAAUUUUAAAAAAAGUAAAGAAAUCUUUAAAAUAGUGUUUAACCUGCCGUCUCAAAGUUUGCGUGUCUUUAUUAAAUAACAAAUUAUAUCAAAAUCCCUCCAUUCAUACAUUUAACAACAUUAUCGCCGUCAUAAAGUUUGUCGCCGUUACGAAAGUUGUCGCUCUCUCGUUGUCGCAUACUCGUCGGCGUGUAAUCGUGCUUGCUUUUGUGCUAAAUUCCUUAACACCCUCUAUUUUAAAAGGAAUCAAAGGAAGAAACAAAAAAAAAUAAUAAAAUUAAUGUUAUAAAACAACAACUUAAAUGACCUCCAUUGGCUCCUUUAUGUGCACGUUGCCAUACUCUAUUAUUAAAGUCCCCUCUGACUCAUAAAACUUCAUUAAUACGGUAUUUACGUAUAAGAAAAAGCAAAAAAAAAAAAACGAAGCGAAAAAAAGAGUUGCAUGUUACUAUCUAACAACAAAAAAACCAUAAUAAUAAAAAUUUCUAAAAAUCCCAUAAUCAAAACG